UACUACAAGCGCUAGCUUAAAACCCAAAGGACUUGGCGGUAUCCCAUACCCACCUAGAGGAGCCUGUUCUAUAACCGAUAAUCCCCGUUCAACCUCACCACUUCUUGCCAUUACCGUCUAUAUACCGCCGUCGUCAGCCCACCCUGUGAAGGACUAAAAGUAAGCAAAAAGAAUAAAACUCCAAAACGUCAGGUCGAGGUGUAGCAAAUGAAGUGGGAAGAAAUGGGCUACAUUUUUUUUCAAAAACAUACGAAUGGUAAACUGAAAACAUACCUAAAGGUGGAUUUAGCAGUAAGAGGAGAUCAGAAUACUCCCCUGAAAUCGGCUCUGGGAUAAGCACACACCGCCCGUCACUCUCCUCAAAAACAACCUAUCCUUUUUCAUAAACACAUCUCUUUAAUAAGAGGAGGCAAGUCGUAACAUGGUAAGUGUACUGGAAAGUGCACUUGGAAUCAAAA
rnacentral:rRNA from 1 species